rnacentral:snRNA from 1 species
GGAUGUGAGGGUGAUCUGGUUGUGACAUCUGUCACUCCAUUGAUUGCCAGGGUUGAUGCGGCUGAUCUGGCUGGCUAGGCAGGUGUCCCCUUCCUUCCUCACCGCUCCAUGUGCGUCCCUCCCCUAAGCUGCACACUCGGUCCAAGAAGAUGACCAUCCCUGAUAGAGGAGGACCGUUCUUUGGUCAAAGGUAUAUGAGUAGCUGCGCUCCCCUGCUAGAACCUCCAAACAAGCUCUCAAACCCCAGUACUGCAAAAAAAAAAAAAAGUGUGUCAGGGCUGGCAGAGUGGCUCAAGUGGUAGAGUGCCUGCCU